GGCUUUGCUCCGUGCAGAUGAGCAGGGGCUGAGGGAGGACGCUGUGCUCUCAGUAGCCGCGCUUGGCCCGGGGACCCUGCAGGCUUAGAAACGUGAGUCACGCCUGCAGCGUGGCGAGGAAACGCCGUUGAUGUGGCAUCCUCAGCCUGGGGUUGUGGCUUUAAGCCAGAAGGUCAAAAAAAGAAGUCUUCCUGAGCUGAGACUGCCCUGAGUCGCUUUAGGGGCGAAAUUCCGAGCAUCCGGUUGCAUUUCCUGAGGAUGACACGCGUGGUGGGUGUGGACGGCCUACAGGGGUCCAUCCUCAGCGGCCCCUCUGCAGGGCAGUCUCGCUCUCACUCUCCCAGCUGACUCCUCUCAAGCCUGUUAACCAUUGUACACGUUCCCAAGGACUCCAAGCAGGUUGGACUUCAGGGAACAUUGCAGUUUGGGUCUUGGCCAUUGUUUACACUCCACCUUGCAUAAGUGCUUGAGGAUCACACAACCAGAUACGUAGAUCAUCCGUAGAUCAUCGCAGUCACAUCGAAGAUUUGUUUAUAAUAGGAAAAAAAAAAGCUACCCACUGUCAUGCGCUGGGAAACUAGUGAGCUGAAGGAUGACCCAUCUGUAAAUGGGGUGCUCCCUAAUGGACAGGGCACCUUUCAGAAGCCUGUGCUGUGUCUCCUCGACCCCACUGUGAGCUCCCCGUCCCGCACGCUGAUCUAAAUCAAGCUGCUAACCUCAUGGAGAGGCGUCCGCACGGGAGCCCCGGCCCUGAGAUGCGGGGCAGUCACCCAUUCAAUUAGGAAACACCAGCAAGUGCCAGAAGCUUCUCAUUAGCAGGUCAGCUUUCAAUAACUGGUUUAUCCAGGUGUGUGAGACCCGAUAAGCAGAAGGGAAAGCUCUUAGCGACCUAUCCAGCUGCUCUGCACUGGGCUCCUGACAUCCCAGAAAUCAGUACAUCUGUCUUCUGGGGUCCAAGAGGUAUUUCAGUUUCUCUGGCUUUGUUUCCCGUCAUUUGUACCUGGCCCUGCAGACUACCCCAGUAUUUCCAUCAUAAUACCCCUGUGGGCAGGUGCAUACCUCAUGACAAUAUUUAAUAUUAAUAGAUUUAUGUGUUGUCUCCAGAAUGGAAAGGGGCUGUCUAUUCCUUGAGCUAGUUGGCUUGCUAAAGACUAUUGACUUCAUUCUUCUUUUCCUAUCUACCUAAUAAACCAGUGUUCAUACA
rnacentral:lncRNA from 1 species